rnacentral:rRNA from 1 species
AGCUCCAAUAGCGUAUAUUAAAGUUGUUGCAGUUAAAAAGCUCGUAGUUGAAAUUCAGACCUGGUCGAGUGGUCCGCCUAACGGUGUGUACUGCUUGACUGGGCCUUACCUCUUGGUGAACGGGCGUGCCCUUUAUUGGUGUGCGUCCGGGAACCAGGACUUUUACCUUGAGAAAAUUAGAGUGUUCAAAGCAGGCCUAUGCCCGAAUACAUUAGCAUGGAAUAAUAAAAUAGGACGUGCGGUUCUAUUUUGUUGGUUUCUAGAGUCGCCGUAAUGAUUAAUAGGGACAGUUGGGGGCAUUGGUAUUGAGUCGCUAGAGGUGAAAUUCUUGGAUUGACUCAAGACCAACUAUUGCGAAAGCAUCUGCCAAGGAUGUUUUCA